rnacentral:rRNA from 1 species
UACGAAGGGGGCUAGCGUUGUUCGGAAUUACUGGGCGUAAAGCGCACGUAGGCGGUUUGUUUAGUUCGGGGUGAAAUCCCGGGGCUCAACCCCGGAACUGCCUUUAAUACUGGCAAUCUAGAGUCCGAGAGAGGUGAGUGGAAUUCCGAGUGUAGAGGUGAAAUUCGUAGAUAUUCGGAGGAACACCAGUGGCGAAGGCGGCUCGCUGGCUCGGUACUGACGCUGAGGUGCGAAAGCGUGGGGAGCAAACAGG